GGGGAUGAUCGGCCUAGACAAGAUGCGUGUUUCUUUAUGCGCGAAACGGAGUAUUCCUCGCUUCUCCUAAUAUGUCGAGGAAACGAUACGUGCUAACAAUUUAGUUGCACGAGCAAAAUCUAUUGUUUCUCCGUAUUUUACGGAAAACAAUUUUGCUUUCGCUUACGCUUCGGCCUAAGCGGCGUCUCUCUGCAUGCGAUUCGGUAGUGCAGACGGGGUGUAAUAUCCUCCGAAUGUAGCGUGCGCGGUUUUCCUCCGCGUCCGUGAAAUAAAGGAAUCGGUUCAAUGCGAUUUUGUUUGUUCUCUACUCAUUGGACUUAAACACAAAAAACAAACUACGUUUCGUAGACCCGUCUAGAAAUCCCAUUUUGCACGCGCGUUCGAUUCGCGCCAUCUCCACCU
rnacentral:tmRNA from 1 species